AGCUCCAAGAAUACGCGGAGGAGGUGGCCCGGGUCGGCAUCGACGCCGUCCGGCGCGGGCCACGGGCCCGCUUCCAAGUGCGUCUGCGCGCCGGCCACCCACGCCGGGUCCUUCAAGUGCCGCUUCCACUGCACCAACUCCCAGGGCCACGGCCACGGCGACGGCCAGGGAAGCCGCCCUUCUUCGCCCCCUUCACCGGCCGCGGCACCCAGCCUCACCGUCCUCGUCCUCCGGCACCGUCGCGACCCAAUGACGCAGCCCAAGCACCGGCCUCGAGAAUCAAGAAAGGGAGUUUAUUUACUGCUCCCUCGAUGUAUUGUUUUCUUUGUUUGGGGAUUGAUUACCAUCCGUGAGUUAAGGUAA
rnacentral:rRNA from 1 species